GAUGAACGCUGGCGGCGUGCUUAACACAUGCAAGUCGAGCGAUGAAGUUUCCUUCGGGAAACGGAUUAGCGGCGGACGGGUGAGUAACACGUGGGUAACCUGCCUCAUAGAGUGGAAUAGCCUUUCGAAAGGAAGAUUAAUACCGCAUAAUGUUGAAAGAUGGCAUCAUCAUUUAACCAAAGGAGCAAUCCGCUAUGAGAUGGACCCGCGGCGCAUUAGCUAGUUGGUGGGGUAACGGCCUACCAAGGCGACGAUGCGUAGCCGACCUGAGAGGGUGAUCGGCCACAUUGGGACUGAGACACGGCCCAGACUCCUACGGGAGGCAGCAGUGGGGAAUAUUGCACAAUGGGGGAAACCCUGAUGCAGCAACGCCGCGUGAGUGAUGAAGGUUUUCGGAUCGUAAAGCUCUGUCUUUGGGGAAGAUAAUGACGGUACCCAAGGAGGAAGCCACGGCUAACUACGUGCCAGCCGCCGCGGUAA
rnacentral:rRNA from 1 species